rnacentral:rRNA from 1 species
GACGAACGCUGGCGGCGUGCUUAACACAUGCAAGUCGAACGGAAAGGCCCUGCUUUUGUGGGGUGCUCGAGUGGCGAACGGGUGAGUAACGCGUGAGUAACCUGCCCUUGACUUUGGGAUAACUUCAGGAAACUGGGGCUAAUACCGGAUAGGAGCUCCUGCUGCAUGGUGGGGGUUGGAAAGUUUCGGCGGUUGGGGAUGGACUCGCGGCUUAUCAGCUUGUUGGUGGGGUAGUGGCUUACCAAGGCUUUGACGGGUAGCCGGCCUGAGAGGGUGACUGGCCACAUUGGGACUGAGAUACGGCCCAGACUCCUACGGGAGGCAGCAGUGGGGAAUAUUGCACAAUGGGCGGAAGCCUGAUGCAGCAACGCCGCGUGCGGGAUGACGGCCUUCGGGUUGUAAACCGCUUUCGCCUGUGACGAAGCGUGAGUGACGGUAAUGGGUAAAGAAGCACCGGCUAACUACGUG